UACGUGAGGGUGCAAGCGUUGUCCGGAAUUAUUGGGCGUAAGAGCUCGUAGGCGGUUUGUCGCGUCUGCUGUGAAAAUCCAGGGCUUAACCCUGGACCUGCAGUGGGUACGGGCAGACUAGAGUGCGGUAGGGGAGAUCGGAAUUCCGUGGUGUAGCGGUGAAAUGCGCAGAUAUCAGGAGGAACACCGGUGGCGAAGGCGGA
rnacentral:rRNA from 1 species